CCUACGGGAGGCUGCAGUGGGGAAUAUUGGACAAUGGGGGCAACCCUGAUCCAGCCAUGCCGCGUGUGUGAAGAAGGCCCUCGGGUCGUAAAGCACUUUCAGUGAGGAAGAACGCCUGGUGGUUAAUACCCAUCAGGAAAGACAUCACUCACAGAAGAAGCACCGGCUAACUCCGUGCCAGCAGCCGCGGUAAUACGGAGGGUGCGAGCGUUAAUCGGAAUUACUGGGCGUAAAGCGCGCGUAGGUGGCUUGAUAAGCCGGUUGUGAAAGCCCCGGGCUCAACCUGGGAACGGCAUCCGGAACUGUCAAGCUAGAGUGCAGGAGAGGAAGGUAGAAUUCCCGGUGUAGCGGUGAAAUGCGUAGAGAUCGGGAGGAAUACCAGUGGCGAAGGCGGCCUUCUGGACUGACACUGACACUGAGGUGCGAAAGCGUGGGUAGCAAACAGGAUUAGAUACCCCUGUAGUC
rnacentral:rRNA from 1 species